UACGAAGGGUGCAAGCGUUACUCGGAAUUACUGGGCGUAAAGCGUGCGUAGGUGGUUGUUUAAGUCUGUUGUGAAAGCCCUGGGCUCAACCUGGGAAUUGCAGUGGAUACUGGGCGACUAGAGUGUGGUAGAGGGUAGUGGAAUUCCCGGUGUAGCAGUGAAAUGCGUAGAGAUCGGGAGGAACAUCCAUGGCGAAGGCAGCUACCUGGACCAACACUGACACUGAGGCACGAAAGCGUGGGAGCAAACAGGG
rnacentral:rRNA from 1 species